rnacentral:ribozyme from 15 species
UAAAAUUGCAGAAAGACAUAAUUUAAGGCCGCCUAUAGGGUCGAUGUCAACAAUAUCGUCUUUCUUGCUUAUUUCCUUCCAUAUUUUUUCCUUAUUCUUCCCGAUGAUUGACCUUCCGCGAGGAAAAUGUUGAUAUAAACCGGAUGGGUUACAACUAUAGAGUUGCCAUUCAUUGUCUCUAUCUAGUCCAAUGAUGAGAGCUUCAACUCCAAAGGGCCUAGCACCUUGUUGUUUGGUAGCAUCUUUAAGAAUUGACGACAAAGAAAGAACAGAUUUAUGCAAUGGAAGUGGCUGGUGAAAAUCAACAUUAUGUUUCUCAUUAGUUCUUGAUAACACCAUCAUCAAGUGCGAAAUAUCAGCUGAAAAGCCUGUCAUCGUACAAAACAAGUUUGGGGCCAGCAUUCCCCAUUGAGGCUUCGAUUUGAAAGGUAAUAGCUUUAGCCCGUGUUUUGUAAAUGGUAGGGCAGAAGU